rnacentral:rRNA from 1 species
GGGAAUUUUGGACAAUGGACGCAAGUCUGAUCCAGCCAUUCCGCGUGCAGGAUGAAGGCCCUCGGGUUGUAAACUGCUUUUGUACGGAACGAAAAGGUCUCUCUUAAUACGGGGGGCUCAUGACGGUACCGUAAGAAUAAGCACCGGCUAAUUACGUGCCAGCAGCCGCGGUAAUACGUAGGGUGCAAGCGUUAAUCGGAAUUACUGGGCGUAAAGCGUGCGCAGGCGGUUAUGUAAGACAGAGGUGAAAUCCCCGGGCUCAACCUGGGAACUGCCUUUGUGACUGCAUAGCUAGAGUACGGUAGAGGGGGAUGGAAUUCCGCGUGUAGCAGUGAAAUGCGUAGAUAUGCGGAGGAACACCGAUGGCGAAGGCAAUCCCCUGGACCUGUACUGACGCUCAUGCACGAAAGCGUGGGGAGCAAACAGGAUUAGAUACCCUGGUAGUCCACGCCCUAAACGAUGUCAACUGGUUGUUGGGUCUUCACUGACUCAGUAACGAAGCUAACGCGUGAAGUUGACCGCCUGGGGAGUACGGCCGCAAGGCUG